GAGAGCAGAGGGCAGCGGGAAGCAGCCRCAGGGGUGACACGUGGGGCGUUCCUGGGCUCGGAGGUGGAUAUUUGGGAGCAGAAACGUAACAAGACCACGAGCAGGGGAAUUCCUGCACGUUGCUGAUUUUAUUGCUUGGUGUGGAUGCGACGCAGCAGCUUCCGGAGCCGAAGCGGCAGUGAUUGAAGCUUUUUAAGGGGCAGGUUGCAAAGUGUGCUGGAAGGUGCCUACAUGUGAGCGAGUUACUAAUGGCAGCUAAAACACCGGCUCUCCAGCUGCCCCCGCACAAACCCAGCACUCGCUGAGCUCCUCUCAAGCUGCUGCAAACUGGCAGAAAAACACCCCAAGUUUUGGGUUACUUUGCAGAAACACUUCAGCGCCGGUCAGCGAAGCACAAGGGCUCUGGUAGGGUGACAUGCACGCUUGAUGGGAUCAUGGCCUGCAUCACCGCUUCGCGGCCAGGUAUGCAUGGGACCAGAGCUGAAGGACUGCAGACUCCAGGCAGGUUUGUCCGGCUCAUCGUCUGUGAGCAGCACAGUCAAUCAAMAGAUCUGUGCUCUGAUCUCAGCGACAUCACAUGUGGAGAUUCACCGUGGGACUUCAUCCUGUUUGUCUAUACUGCAAAGCCACCAAAUAACCUGGUAAAWAAAUUAGAGGGAGGUGUUACAAGUCCCCGAAGAUGGGUGGUUGGAGCUACAGAGACCCUCUCUCCACCUACAUGUUUGUCCUGUAGCAGCUUAGUUUAUGCUUAUAAUACCUCUCUCACAAAAGGGUUCACCAACAAACUGAUAAAUGCCGCCACCAAAAUGCUUUGAGGAAACAAAAUAUGUUAACUACGUGUACAAACCAUUGUCAAUAAAAUC
ensembl:lncRNA